GAUGAACGCUGGCGGCAUGCUUAACACAUGCCAGUCGGACGGGAAGUGGUGUUUCCAGUGGCGUACGGGUGAGUAACGCGUAAGAACCUGCCCUUGGGAGGGGAACAACAACUUGAAACGGUUGCUAAUACCCCGUAGGCUGAGGAGCAAAAGGAGCAAUCCGCCCGAGGAGGGGCUUGCGUCUGAUUAGCUAGUUGGUUAGGUAAUAGCUUACCAAGGCGAUGAUCAGUAGCUGGUCCGAGAGGAUGACCAGCCACACUGGGACUGAGACACGGACCAGACUACUACGGGAGGCAGCAGUGGGGAAUUUUCAGCAAUGGGGGAUAGCCUGACGGGGCAAUGCCGUGUGGAGGUAGAAGGCCCACGGGUCGUGAACUUCUUUUUUCGGAGCAGAAACAAUGACGGUAUCUGAGGAAUAAGCAUCGGCUAACUCUGUG
rnacentral:rRNA from 1 species